rnacentral:lncRNA from 1 species
CCUCACUGCCCCUAUGCACUCGCUAGCAUAUACAUCCUCUGUGCUGUUGUUCCCAGCAUCUGUGUUUGUUUCAAUGGAGUGCACUUUACCCUCCUUUCUCUUGCUUUUCAUGCAGACCCUUGUAGCUGCCUUUUCCCUUAGCCUAGUGACAAAGCUGUCAAUGGACUCCCCGUCCUCCUGUUUGCAACACCCGAAAACAUAACGCUCGUAGAUAACGUUCUUUGCUGGCUUAAAGUAAUGUUCAAGAGCAUCAAGAAUAGCUGUAGCGUUACCUUGCUGAGCUGCUGUUAGGUUCAGGUUGUGUUUGUAUACGUGUCGGCAUUCAGUUCCCAUUAUAGUCCUCAAAGUGGCAGCCACUACCUCAUCGUCCUUUUCCAGAAGUCCUGUUGCUAGUGCAUAGUCCUCCCAUUCACCUCUAAACGUAUCCCAGUUUGUGCUCCAAUCUCCGCUGAGCUUCAUGACGGCGGGAGGGAGAAUGUUCGCUGCCAUGUCUAACCGGUGCUAACAACACUGAAGCUAACUAGCAAACUCACUCUAGCUAAGGACAAUUCCGGCGACCGGCGAAGUUUUACUCAAAUAAGCAUUUUGGGGGGGUAAACCAGAACAGGUGACUCUAAUUUGCGGAAAGCAUGGUUAGUUAUCCGACUCUGACACCAUGUUUGAAUGUUAAAUGACGAGACAGAGGCAUUGACGCGAGUAACCAGUCUUGCUUGUUCAGUAUAUUGCAAUACAUCCGGGUAUUUCAAGCACACCGGUAACACUGGAGUUGCAGUAAUUAACAUUUACCAACAGAUGGCAUUACUGUGCCAUCUUACACCCAUAACAACAUGCACCAAACGUGUCACAGCUUCGUAAAAAGCGUUGCCUACCGCGGUCUUUGAAAUGAAAGCUGUCAGGCGAGAGCGGCCCCCACACACAGACAGUUUUUCCUCGGAGAAACGCACUAGAGACCUAGUUGAGACUCACGGGAUUUUGGAAAGAAAUUAGACGAUAUUAUUUUCAUUUUAGGAAAGAAACCAAACUAUUUUUGUGUUUUUUUCCGAGACACCCGAGGACAGCCACAGAGUUCCCUGGCGCGGAGAAAGUAACAUCUUCAACUGGCGACGACAGAGGGACACCACCGGAGGAGUCAUUCCAAGCAACUCUGCUCAAACAAAUGGAUUGGAGAGUUAUAUUUGUCUGCGCAGUAGCAUGGCAUGUUUCACUGGUGUCACAAUCUUAUGCCACAGGUGGUGUGAAUACAUCUCUCUCUACAGCUCAGAGCAACUUGUCUCUGUGUUUCACCUGCAACGGUGAGAGAUGUCAAGAUGUGAAAAAGAUUUUCAACUCAAUGAGAGAUGACAAAAUUUGGACGCAAAGUACUGCAACGUCUGCCCUUCUUGGCUGUUCCCUGACCUCGUCUCCCUUUGCUGGGAAGUGUGUGCCAUGUGUUGAGGACCGCAAGGUCUACAUUGUUUGCCUUGACAUGCCCAAGGAUCUCAAACUGGACCUGGAGGAUGGUGAUGGCAACUCAUUUUCCUACACUGAAGCUACAUGCCCUAGACUGACGGCGUCUAGAGCUGUAGGUCACGCUGGACACAACAGCCAGUGGCUGUAACAACAAAAUCUGGAAAAAGUCAAGGGGUGUGAAUACUUUCUGAAGGUGGAGUCAGAGGUCUUGCUGGGCAUGGUGGAGCAAUGAUCAGCAUUGGCAUGUUAGCAGCUGCCGUCAUCUUUGUCGCUUACUACAGAAGCCAGACCAAAUCAAGUAUUGUCUAGUGUCAACUUCAGAAGUCCACUCAGAGGAACACCAGACCCAUUUAAAGUUAUUAAAGACUGUCACGUCUACUGCUCCCCCUCUCCGGCGCACAGAGGGAGGGGGGCAGAACAUGAGACAGAGCUGCAUUUCAUGACAAAAUGUGAAAAAUAUAAAACAAUUAGAGAGUGUAAUUUCCCCAAAUUUGAAACCCUUAUUCAAGGUUUCAAAGACCUCUCUGGUGAGAGGCUACCCUUCCUGUUGGGGGAAAGACGCAGAGAGCUGGGGGUUGGCAGCGCACUACAUUGCUGCCUGCCAUAAGAUGAGGGACAGUGUCUGACAGACCAAUCAACCUGCACAUGUCCUCUACUGUAUGCUUAUUGUUUAAUGUAUGGUUAUUUUGACCCUUGGUUAUUGUUGUUACUGUUGUCCCGUUGACAAUUUUGAUUUAUUAUUUUCAUGUUGUAAAUAUCCAAAAUAAGCUUUGGCAAUAUGUACAUUGUUACGUUAUGCCAAUAAAGUGAAUUGAAUUGAA